UACGGAGGGUGCAAGCGUUAUCCGGAUUCACUGGGUUUAAAGGGUGCGUAGGCGGGUAUGUAAGUCAGGGGUGAAAUCUUAGAGCUUAACUCUAAAACUGCCUUUGAUACUAUGUAUCUUGAAUUUCCUGGAGGUUAGCGGAAUAUGUCAUGUAGCGGUGAAAUGCUUAGAUAUGACAUAGAACACCGAUUGCGAAGGCAGCUGACUACGGGUAGAUUGACGCUGAGGCACGAAAGCGUGGGGAUCAAAC
rnacentral:rRNA from 1 species